rnacentral:rRNA from 1 species
GAAAUACGGGGUCACUCCAACCCAUGUGAACGUUACCAAACUGUUGCCUCGGCGGGAUCUCUGCCCCGGGUGCGUCGCAGCCCCGGACCAAGGCGCCCGCCGGAGGACCAACCAAAACUCUUUUUGUAUACCCCCUCGCGGGUUUUUUAUAAUCUGAGCCUUCUCGGCGCCUCUCGUAGGCGUUUCGAAAAUGAAUCAAAACUUUCAACAACGGAUCUCUUGGUUCUGGCAUCGAUGAAGAACGCAGCGAAAUGCGAUAAGUAAUGUGAAUUGCAGAAUUCAGUGAAUCAUCGAAUCUUUGAACGCACAUUGCGCCCGCCAGUAUUCUGGCGGGCAUGCCUGUCCGAGCGUCAUUUCAACCCUCGAACCCCUCCGGGGGGUCGGCGUUGGGGAUCGGCCCUGCCUCUUGGCGGGGGCCGUCUCCGAAAAAAAGGGGCGGUCUCGCCGCAGCCUCUCCUGCGCAGUAAUUUUGACACUCGCAUCCGGAGCGCGGCGCGUCCCCCGCCGUUAAAAACCCACCUUCGAAAUGUGACCCCGAUCAGGAGGAAAACCCGCUGAACUUAGCUUUCAUUAGGGGAGGGACUUUUAUUAG